rnacentral:rRNA from 1 species
UCUCGUCAGAUGCAUACGCUUAGCUAAAAGAUUAAGCCAUGCAUGUGCAAGUUUAUCUGCAAUAGAGAAACCGCGAAUGGCUCAUUAAAUCAGUUACAAUCUCUCUGCUUGAUCUCUACUUCUAUGUAUAACCACGGUAACCCUGUGGCUAAUGCAUGCCGUAAUAGGCUCAGCGAUGAUAAUUCCGCGAUCCAAACUUUUACCGACAAGGUCGUUAGAAGGGGUCUAUUGUAGUCAUCUCGCACAGAGAAGUUUGGUAACUGUAUGAUCACAGAAGGACGGUUCCAGUCCCGGUGAUAGAGCUUACGAGUUUCUGAGCCAUCAACCAUAGAUGGUAGGGUAACGGCCUACCAUGGUUAUGACGGCUAACGGGGAAUCUGGGUUCGAUUCCGGAGAGGCAGCCUGAGAAACGGCUACCACAUCCAAGGAAGGCAGCAGGCACGGAAAUUACCCACUUCUAGCACGGAGAGGUAGUGACUAGUAAUAACAGGAUUAGCCUUACGAGGCGAACCCUGGACUGGUGAGGAGGUAUAAAGUCCUCAGUAAUUCAAGUUCAGGGCAAGUCUGGUGCCAGCCGCCGCGGUAAUACCAGCCUGAACAAGCGUAUGCUUUAGUUGCUGCGUUUAAAAAGCUCAUAGUUGGAUCUUCGGGCGCGUCAUCGUUGGAAGGUUUGAUACUUGUAUCAUUCCGGGUGAUUGCGUUCCCAAUCGUCCUUGUUAGACAGUUUUCACUUAACUGUGUCAACUGAUCGAAACUUGGAACAGACCUUGAGAAAAUUAGAGUGCUCAAGGCGAGUUUUGGCAUUGAAUUUUAAAGCAUGGAAUAAUGGAGAAGGACCUUUGUCUGGUCGUGAACCAGUCAGGUAAUGAUUAACAGGAACAGGCGGGGGCAUUUGUAUUGUUGGGGGAGGGGUGAAAUCCGUAGAUCCCAGCAAGACAAACUACUGCGAAAGCAUUUGCCAAGAAUGUUUUCAUUAAUCAAGAACGAAAGUUAGAGUAUUGAAGAGGAUUAGAUACCCUCGUAAUUCUAACCUUAAACUAUACCAUCUUACGCUUAGUCAACGUAUUUAUACUUGACUAGGAGUAGCCCGGGAAACCAAAGAUUUUUGGUUACGGGGGGAGUAUGGUUGCAAAAUCGAAACUUAAAGGAAUUGACGGAGGGGCACCACCAGGAGUGGAGCCUGCGGCUUAAUUUGACUCAACACGGGGAAACCCACCAGGUCCAGACAUCUUAAGGAUUGACAGAUAGUAUAUCUCUCAUGAUUAGAUGGGCGGUGGUGCAUGGCCGUUCUUAGUUAGUGGAGUGAUCUGUCUGGUUAAUUCCGAUAACUGACGAGAUCUCUUCCUUCUAACUAGUGGAUGAUAAUUCUUUGAAUUAGCAUCAAAACUUCUUAGAGGUACUACGUACUAUUAAAUAGUACGAGUGAAGUGAGGCUAUAACAGGUCUGUGAUGCCCUUAGAUGUCCUGGACCGCACGCGCGCUACAAUGAUAGCCUUAAUGUGUUGAUUAAAACCUAAGCCGAGAAGGUUUUGGGAAAUCAUUAAAGGUAUUUGGAUUCUUAGUGGGGAUCAACUAUUGUAAUGAUAGUUGUGAACAAGGAAUUCCUAGUACUUAGAUUUCACCAGAAUCUAGGGAUUACGUCCCUGCCCUUUGUACACACCGCCCGUCGCUACUACUGAUUGGACGGUUAAGCGAGAUGUUGGGAAGCUCUCUUUCGACACUUCGGUGUUGAUUGUAGAGCCGAACAACUUCAAGCUAAACUGGCUAGAGGAAGUAAAAGUCGUAACAAGGUUUCCGUAGGGGAACCUGCGGAAG